GGAAGGCCUCAGGAAACUUACAAUCAUGGCAGAAGGCAAAGGAGAAGCAGGCACCUUCUUCACAGGGCUUCAGAAUGCAGUGAGUGCAAACAGGAGAAACGCCAGACACAUAAAACCAUCAGAUCUCAUGAGACUCACUCACUACCAUGAGAAGAGCAUGGAGGAAACUGCUCCCAUAGUUCAAUUACCUUCAACCCUUGACAUGUGAGGAUUAUAAGGUUUAUAAUUCAAGAUGAGAGCCAAACCAUAUCAGCCAUAUACUGACCCAGGAUUUUUUACACUUUGGGUCUUACUCAAGGGCUCUUCACUAUUUUACACCCUUGUAUUUUUAAUUAUUAUAGAUACAUAAUAGUUCUACAUAUUUCUCAGGUACAUGCCAUCAUUUGCUUUUUGUAAAGUUUAUUGGAACAUCAUGACUUUCAUUUAUUUAUAUACUGUCUAUAGCUUCCUCUAAGGAAUAAGCAAAAACAGAGUCUCCCACUUUCUUACUCAGAGUAGUGCAAUUUUCCUUAGCUCUUCCUCAAAACUCCAUUUCAGGGCUCCUUUGAAUUCCAAAAAUUUGGUCAAAGCUUUGAAAAUACCUAUCGUUAGAACAAAUGACAUUCUUAAAUUUAGGGCCCUUCUUCUCAGCCGUAAUAUGUGGGUGAGGAGAGUUUGUUCUUUCUAUUAGUCUUUCAGAAUGUGUGCAAUUUGUCUGUAAAUUUAACAAAGCCAACUUUGACCGAUGGUUGCUUUCAUGUAGUCCAAGAUCUAAGAGAGUGAAGAGACUCCACAAUUGUAUGUGAGACUGAAAUGAAGAGUUUACUUUUUCUUUUUUCCUAUGGAAGUGAAGUCAAUUGGUUAAGAAGUGUCUGAAAACUGUGGGUAUUUCAGUUCUAUUUCUCUAAUACUGCAGCAAAGAAAACAAAGAUUGGCAAAAUCCUAUAAUGCCAUUCAAACAUAGCCUGGGAGGGAAUCCAAGAACACAGGCUUUAAAACAAAUAAAUCACUUGCUAUUAUGAAGUAUGGAAAGCACAGUGAUCUUAGACCUAAAGAAGGAAAUAAUCACUGUUCAUACUGUGUUUUAAAUUACAAGUAUUAAAGAGAGAACUGUGGAAACUUACUCUGGAAGUUUCAGAUGCAGUGAAUUCUGACACAUUAAUGCAUCUGACAACCAGAAAUGGCAGUGCUGUGAGUUAAAGGUGAUAUUUCCUUUAGGCCAGAAGAGAAAGGGCUAAUGGUGUGAAUGGUCUCAACCUCUUUGUCUAGCUCCCACGUGGACUGGAAAGGAGAGCCUGCUGGUUCCAAUACAUGAUCCUGAGCUGGAGGAGGGAGAUGUGACUCAAAACUGAAAUCAUGAAGCUUGAAGUUGUUUUUAAGCAGCAGUGUCUGUUGGCCCCUGGGGAAUGUAAAAUCUUCUUUACCUGCUAUGGGCAUCAGAAUAAUGGCUCCUCAAAGAUGUCCGCAUCCUAAGCCUUGGAACCUCUGACUGUGUUACCUUUUCAAGGCAAAGGGGACUUUGUGGAUAUCAUUAAGAAUCUUGAGAUGGUGUGUUUUUGUUUUUAAUCCAGGUAGGCUCAGUGUCAUCACAAGGGUCCUUAUGAGGAAAAGAGAAAGCCAUGAGGGUCAGAGUCAAAGGAAGACUUGAAGAUACCACACUGCUGACUUUGAAGAUGAAGGAAGGGACUAAAACCAAGAAUGCAGGAGGCCUCUAGAAGCUAGAGAAGGCAAGGAAACAGCCUCCAGAAGGAACACAGCCCUGCUGACCCACUGUGAUGUCUGUCCUCUAGAUUUGUAAGGUAAUACAUUUUUGUUUUUUUAAGGUACCAAAUUUUUGGUAAUUUGUUACAUCAGCCAUAGGAAACUAAUAUACCUACUUGCCCCUUUUUAUUCUAUUACAAAGAAAGGUCUUUGACAUGACCCAGUGAAAUGAGAAGAUAUGAAUUAGGCCAGACUGUAGAAGGUGCAACUUUCAGUGUGAUGUAGAGAAUGGUGAGGUUUGCUGUGGCGGUUUUUUGUUUCUUACCUUUGGAUGUCAAUGGAAGUUCUCACUGGACAUAGAUAGGAUAGUAUGAGGGACUUGGGGCCUUUUCUACCUUAGAAGGAGGAACUGUGCUGCCUUUUUAUCUACCCUACAAGGCCAAGUAAGGAAGAAAACUAUGGUCAAGAAUCUAUUAUCAAGUUUGUAGACUCUGGGGCAAGAUCAUCUGGUUUUGAAACAUACUUGCUGUGUGAUUUUAAGCAAGUCAGUUAAGUUUGGUUUUCCCAUUUUUGAGAAAAGGAUAAAAGUAACUACCUGUUGUGUUAUUUAGGUAAAACAAUUGAACAGUUUCUGGAAUAUACUAAAUGUGAUGCUGCUGCUGAUGAUGAUGAUAAUGAUGAUUAUAAAUUCCUAAUUUGUCUUGGUUUUAACCCUGGCUUUGUUAUUUUUAGGUUUGUAGUCUUAUAUAAGUUUUUAAAUCCUGAAUGAGUUUCUUUUUUAAAAAAAUUAUAAAAUAGAGGCAAUAAUGGUAGCCUCCUCAAAGGUUCUUACGAGGACUAAAAUCAUCUAAAGCAUUUGGCACAUAGUAAGUGCUCAGUAACAGUCAGUCAUGUUGCUUUAUGAACUGUGGCAAUGGAGCUCCAGGCAAAGGAGGCAAGUAUGUGAGCUUCCCUAGGAUGUAAUUCUUCUUCAUCUUCUUUUAUUUAGCUUCUCCUUCUCUUUCCUUCCGGAUUGUAAGAAUGAAAGUCUCAGAAAGGCACUGUUACAUUCUUAUUCCACAACAAUGCAACUCAAAACUGGGGUCCUCAGCAGUGAGUGGGCGGCGAGAGAAGACAGUGCAUAAACAUGGCACAUCCUCCUGGAAAGUCAACUUUACUCAAAGAGAUAAGAGGCUAAACUAAAUAAUCUGUUUCCUCCUACGUUGUGCAAAUCUUGGAUCAUAACAUUGGUGAUAACAUUGGUGGCAAAAUGAAAGAUGCAGAGGACAAGGAGUGAGAGAGGCAGAAAACUCAAGAAUGUUUGAUUCCUUGGGGCUGUUUAGUCAUUGUGAGAAGAGGUGAAAGAUGACCUAAGAUUGUUGAGGUCAUGAGUUUGCCCCAUUCUUGGUGAAAGAGGAGAAGCAGCUGGAAGAGGCCUUGAGCUUCCUUGGACAACAUCAUGUACUAAGAUCUACAUAGGUACAAAAGUCAUGUUAUUUUAUGAUAAACUCUGUGAACUCCAGAAUGUCUGCCGGUUGGUGGAUGUGGUAAAGUCUGAGGCAUAUUAUCGCUUAAAAGAAUCCAGAGAAAAAGGUAUUUUGCAAUAGAUACCAUGUUAAUGCUGA